rnacentral:rRNA from 1 species
AGGUUAAGUUAACAAGGGCGCAUGGUGAAUGCCUUGGCACUAGGAGCCGAUGAAGGACGGGACUAACACCGAUAUGCUUCGGGGAGCUGUACGUAAGCUAUGAUCCGGAGAUUUCCGAAUGGGGCAACCCAGCAGUUUUAAUCAACUGUUACCACUAGAUGAAUUCAUAGUCUAGUUGGAGGUAAACGCUGUGAACUGAAACAUCUCAUUAGCAGCAGGAAUAUAAAGAAAUUUCGAUUCCCUAAGUAGCGGCGAGCGAACGGGGAACAG